GGCCGGAGGGUGGUUUGUGGCUGUCAGUUGUAACAUUGUUUCCCUCUUCUCAUUAGCAUCAGCCUUCAGAGUCAACCACAACAGACAGACGGGAAAUAUUUUAUAAGAGGCCGCAGAGAGACAUAGAAGUGUGCUGGGAACAGUUGAGAGGUGGCGUCUCUUCCAUAAGUAAUGGAAUCACAAGGAGUCUUUAAACAACAAAUGACUUUUAAAGUAAUCUCAGCAUAUAGUGCUGAAGUCAGCAGAACGGAUUCUCAUUAAAGGACAGAAACAUGACAUCACUCGAGAAGACAGUUCAGCACGAAAACCCUGAUGAGACUCUGCCAUCCCAUGGAAGUUCAGCCUGAAGAGCUAAGACAUCAUGCAAUCAUACUGCUGCCAUCCCUCCAGGAAAGCUCUCUCCAAGCAAGAGUCCCUAAAGCCAACAAAGGAGUGUCAUCCAGAGUGUGUGAAGAAAAAAUUCA